rnacentral:rRNA from 1 species
UUGAACGCUGGCGGCAUGCUUUACACAUGCAAGUCGAACGGUAGACCCUUUCGGGGGUUGAGAGUGGCGAACGGGUGAGUAAUGCAUCGGAACAUACCCAGUCGUGGGGGAUAACGUAGCGAAAGUUACGCUAAUACCGCAUGAGUCCUGAGGGAGAAAGCGGGGGAUCGCAAGACCUCGCGCGAUUGGAGUGGCCGAUGUCAGAUUAGCUAGUUGGUGGGGUAAAGGCCUACCAAGGCGACGAUCUGUAGCGGGUCUGAGAGGAUGAUCCGCCACACUGGGACUGAGACACGGCCCAGACUCCUACGGGAGGCAGCAGUGGGGAAUUUUGGACAAUGGGCGAAAGCCUGAUCCAGCCAUGCCGCGUGCGGGAAGAAGGCCUUCGGGUUGUAAAGCCCUUUCGACGGGGAGGAAGGCACCGGCGCGAAUAGCGUUGGUGAUUGACGUAACCUGGAGAAGAAGCACCGGCUAACUCCGU